rfam:Arabis alpina cultivar Pajares Aa.chr7_contig_1591, whole genome shotgun sequence.
ACUCCACGGUGAUGACAAGAUCUAGUGUAUCCCUUCAAUCUUUCCCAUGCUUCAUAGAGAGCUUCAUUUGGACCUUGUUUAAAGCUUGUGAUGUUGUUUCUAAUGCAU